GGUCAAGCGAAUAAGCGCACACGGUGGAUGCCUUGGCGGUCAGAGGCGAUGAAGGACGUGGCAGCCUGCGAAAAGUAUCGGGGAGCUGGCAACAAGCUUUGAUCCGGUAAUGUCCGAAUGGGGAAACCCACCCGCUUGCGGGUAUCCUGCAGUGAAUACAUAGCUGCUGGAAGCGAACCUGGUGAACUGAAAUAUCUAAGUAACCAGAGGAAAAGAAAUCAACCGAGAUUCCGUAAGUAGCGACGAGCGAACGCGGACUAGCCCUUAAGCUGAUUUGGUUCUAGGAAAACGCUCUGGAAAGAGCGGCCAUAGAAGGUGAUAGCCCUGUAUCUGAAAGGGCCAUUUCAGUGAAGACGAGUAGGGCGGGGCACGUGAAACCCUGUCUGAACAUGGGGGGACCAUCCUCCAAGGCUAAAUACUACUGACCGACCGAUAGUGAACCAGUACCGUGAGGGAAAGGCGAAAAGAACCCCGGAGAGGGGAGUGAAAUAGAACCUGAAACCGUGUGCGUACAAGCAGUAGGAGCUCCGCAAGGAGUGACUGCGUACCUUUUGUAUAAUGGGUCAGCGACUUACUGUUCGUGGCAAGCUUAACCGUAUAGGGGAGGCGAAGGGAAACCGAGUCUGAUAAGGGCGCAUAGUCGCGGGCAGUAGACCCGAAACCGGGUGAUCUAGUCAUGCCCAGGGUGAAGGUGCGGUAACACGCACUGGAGGCCCGAACCCACUCCCGUUGCAAAGGUAGGGGAUGAGGUGUGAUUAGGAGUGAAAAGCUAAUCGAACCCGGAGAUAGCUGGUUCUCCUCGAAAGCUAUUUAGGUAGCGCCUCAUAUGUAUCCUCUCGGGGGUAGAGCACUGUUAUGGCUAGGGGGUCAUCGCGACUUACCAAACCAUUGCAAACUCCGAAUACCGAGACGGACUGUAUGGGAGACACACGGCGGGUGCUAACGUCCGUCGUGAAAAGGGAAACAACCCAGACCCACAGCUAAGGUCCCAAAUUUUGUGCUAAGUGGAAAACCAUGUGGAAAGGCACAGACAGCCAGGAGGUUGGCUUAGAAGCAGCCACCCUUUAAAGAAAGCGUAAUAGCUCACUGGUCGAGUCGGUCUGCGGGGAAGAUUUAACGGGGCUAAGCACAGAACCGAAGCUUGGGGUGCAUAACUUUGUUAUGCGCGGUAGAGGAGCGUUCCGUAAGCCGUUGAAGGUGGAUUGAGAAAGUCUGCUGGAGGUAUCGGAAGUGCGAAUGCUGACAUGAGUAACGAUAAUGCGGGUGAAAAACCCGCACGCCGAAAGCCCAAGGUUUCCUUGCGCAACGUUAAUCGGCGCAGGGUGAGUCGGCCCCUAAGGCGAGGACGAAAGUCGUAGUCGAUGGGAAGCAGGUUAAUAUUCCUGCACCUCGCGUAAGUGCGAUGGAGGGACGGAGAAGGUUAGGUGUACCAGGCGUUGGUUGUCCUGGGGAAAGGCGGUAGGUUUGGAUCUUUGGCAAAUCCGGGAUCCUUUAAGACCGAGCACCGAGACGAGCCUUUAAGGCGAAGUCACUGAUACCACGCUUCCAGGAAAAGCUCCUAAGCUUCAGCUUACGCAGACCGUACCGUAAACCGACACAGGUGGGUAGGAUGAGAAUUCUCAGGCGCUUGAGAGAACUCGGGUGAAGGAACUAGGCAACAUGGCACCGUAACUUCGGGAGAAGGUGCACCCUUUUUGGUGGCUCAUGCGAGCUAUAGCUGAAGAGGGUCGCAGUAACCAGGCCGCUGCGACUGUUUAUCAAAAACACAGCACUCUGCAAACACGAAAGUGGACGUAUAGGGUGUGACGCCUGCCCGGUGCUGGAAGGUUAAUUGAUGGGGUCAGCCGCAAGGCGAAGCUCUUGAUCGAAGCCCCAGUAAACGGCGGCCGUAACUAUAACGGUCCUAAGGUAGCGAAAUUCCUUGUCGGGUAAGUUCCGACCUGCACGAAUGGCGUAACGACAGCGGCGCUGUCUCCACCCGAGACUCAGUGAAAUUGAAAUCGCUGUGAAGAUGCAGCGUUCCCGUGGCAAGACGGAAAGACCCCGUGAACCUUUACUAUAGCUUUACACUGAACGUUGAGUUCGUCUGUGUAGGAUAGGUGGGAGGCUAUGAAACCAUGGCGCUAGCUGUGGUGGAGCCAUCCUUGAAAUACCACCCUGUCGUGCUUGACGUUCUAACCUGGGCCCAUUAUCUGGGUCGGGGACCGUGUAUGGUGGGUAGUUUGACUGGGGCGGUCUCCUCCUAAAGAGUAACGGAGGAGCUCGAAGGUACGCUCAGCGCGGUCGGACAUCGCGCACUGUGUGCAAAGGCAUAAGCGUGCUUGACUGCAAGAUCGACGGAUCAAGCAGGUAGGAAACUAGGACUUAGUGAUCCGGUGGUUCUGUAUGGAAGGGCCAUCGCUCAACGGAUAAAAGGUACUCCGGGGAUAACAGGCUGAUACCGCCCAAGAGUUCAUAUCGACGGCGGUGUUUGGCACCUCGAUGUCGGCUCAUCACAUCCUGGGGCUGUAGUCGGUCCCAAGGGUAUGGCUGUUCGCCAUUUAAAGUGGUACGCGAGCUGGGUUCAGAACGUCGUGAGACAGUUCGGUCCCUAUCUGCCAUGGGCGUUGGAGAUUUGAGAGGGGCUGCUCCUAGUACGAGAGGACCGGAGUGGACGAACCUCUGGUGUUCCGGUUGUCACGCCAGUGGCAUUGCCGGGUAGCUAUGUUCGGAAGCGAUAACCGCUGAAAGCAUCUAAGCGGGAAGCGCGCCUCAAGAUGAGAUCUCCCGGGGCACAAGCCCCCUGAAGGAACCAUGUAGACUACGUGGUUGAUAGGUCAGGUGUGUAAGUACAGCAAUGUAUUGAGCUAACUGAUACUAAUGAUCCGUGCGCUUGACCAU
rnacentral:rRNA from 1 species